UUCUAUCCUCAAAUCAAAGGACUCAAAAUAUGGCGCAUCGAGGGUUAACCUAUCAUUGAUACAAAGUAUUGAAGAUGAUUCAUAAUCAUCUUUCAACAAUUUUGGAUCAAAGAAGGUUGAUCAACCCCAAGUCCAUCUAUCAAUGAUUUUAGAUGAGGAAUAAAUCAUCAACCAAGCAAUCAAGUCAACUCAUAACAACAAGUGAUCAACAAAAAUAAA
rnacentral:lncRNA from 1 species